GACCUGCCAUCUAGUUAGGACUCAUGAUAGAGAGAUUAAAUCACACAUUAACUACACUUAGAGGUUCAUUUCAGUUUUACUGAGUUAUCACUACAUACUACUAGAUGUCACUGGUGGAUUGUGAGAGCUCACUAGGGUUGUUCCAGAUCAACAAUCGUUAUUGAGUUAGAGUAGAAUUAUUUCGAUCCAUCGAAAAGAGUUUUAAUGAUACGAUGAUAG
rnacentral:lncRNA from 1 species